rnacentral:rRNA from 1 species
GACGAACGCUGGCGGCGUGCUUAACACAUGCAAGUCGAACGGAAAGGCCUGCUUUCCCUUGUGGAUUGCGGGUACUCGAGUGGCGAACGGGUGAGUAACACGUGAGUGAUCUGCCCCCAACUUGGGUAUAAGCCUGGGAAACUGGGUCUAAUUCCCGAUAGGACUGCAGGGUGGUGCCUGUGGUGGAAAACGAUUUUCUAGUGGUUGGGGAUGAGCUCGCGGCCUAUCAGCUUGUUGGUGGGGUAAUGGCCUACCAAGGCGGCGACGGGUAGCCGGCCUGAGAGGGUGGACGGCCACAUUGGGACUGAGAUACGGCCCAGACUCCUACAGGAGGCAGCAGUGGGGAAUAUUGCACAAUGGGCGGAAGCCUGAUGCAGCGACGCCGCGUGGGGGAUGACGGCCUUCGGGUUGUAAACUCCUUUCGACCGCGAGGAAGCCACCUGGUUGGAAGGGUGGUGACGGUAGUGGUAGAAGAAGCACCGGCUAACUACGUG